GACGAACGCUGGCGGCGUGCUUAACACAUGCAAGUCGAACGGAAAGGCCCUGCGUUUUGUGGGGUGCUCGAGUGGCGAACGGGUGAGUAACACGUGAGUAACCUGCCCUUGACUUUGGGGAUAACUUCAGGAAAACUGGGGCUAAUACCGGAUAGGAGCUCCUGCUGCAUGGUGGGGGUUGGAAAGUUUCGGCGGUUGGGGAUGGACUCGCGGCUUAUCAGCUUGUUGGUGGGGUAGUGGCUUACCAAGGCUUUGACGGGUAGCCGGCCUGAGAGGGUGACCGGCCACAUUGGGACUGAGAUACGGCCCAGACUCCUACGGGAGGCAGCAGUGGGGAAUAUUGCACAAUGGGCGGAAGCCUGAUGCAGCAACGCCGCGUGCGGGAUGACGGCCUUCGGGUUGUAAACCGCUUUCGCCUGUGACGAAGCGUGAGUGACGGUAAUGGGUAAAGAAGCACCGGCUAACUACGUG
rnacentral:rRNA from 1 species